UACGAAGGGUGCAAGCGUUGUUCGGAAUUACUGGGCGUAAAGGGCGUGUAGGCGGAUAGAUUAGUUGGGAGUGAAAUCCCGGGGCUUAACUCCGGAACUGCUUUCAAAACGGUUUGUCUAGAGUGUAGUAGGGGACAAUGGAAUACCCAGUGAAGAGGUAAGAUUCGUAGAGAUUGGGUAGAACACCAGAGGCGAAGGCGAUUGUCCGGACUAUUACUGACGCUGAGGCGCGAAAGCGUGGGGAUCAAAC
rnacentral:rRNA from 1 species